rnacentral:rRNA from 1 species
UACAGAGGUCUCAAGCGUUGUUCGGAUUCAUUGGGCGUAAAGGGUGCGUAGGUGGCGCCGUAAGUCAGGUGUGAAAUCCCGGGGCUCAACCCCGGAACUGCACUUGAUACUGCGGUGCUCGAGUACUGGAGAGGAGAUUGGAAUUUACGGUGUAGCAGUGAAAUGCGUAGAUAUUCGGAGGAACACCAGUGGCGAAGGCGGCUCACUGGUGCGGUACUGACGCUGAGGUGCGAAAGCGUGGGGAGCAAACAGG